rnacentral:SRP_RNA from 2 species
GCCAGGCGUGGUGGCGCGUGCCUGUAAUCCCAGCUACUCAGGAGGCUGAGGCAGGAGAAUCACUUGAACCUGGGAGGCGGAGGUUGCAGUGAGCCAAGAUUGCGCCACUGCACUCCAGCCUGGGUGACAGAGUGAGACUCUGUCUCAA